GAGUUUAACUGGGGGGUAGUUUUCUUUUCGUAAAAUCUGAGGUUGUAAAAGACAUGUAAAGUGGGGUUAGGUCCUUUAGAUAAGGAUAAUACCGAGUGAGUUACUUUAGGGAUAACAGCGUAAUAGUCCUAGGGAGAUCGUAUCUAUGGGGCUGAUUGCGACCUCGAUGUUGAAUUAAAAGCUCAGUGUAGAGCAGAAGCUACAGGGUGAGGGUUUGUUCAACCUUUAAAUUUUUACAUGAUCUGAGUUCAAAC
rnacentral:rRNA from 1 species